GACCUCGGAUCAGGUAGGGAUACCCGCUGAACUUAAGCAUAUCAAUAAGCGGAGGAAAAGAAACUAACAAGGAUUGCCCUAGUAACGGCGAGUGAAGCGGGAAGAGCUCAAAUUUGAAAUCUGGUAGCCUUCGGUUGCCCGAGUUGUAAUCUAGAGAAAUGUUUUCCGUGCCGGCCCAUGUACAAGUCCCUUGGAACAGGGCGUCAUAGAGGGUGAGAAUCCCGUCCUUGACAUGGACCCCCGGUGCUUUGUGAUACAUUUUCAACGAGUCGAGUUGUUUGGGAAUGCAGCUCUAAAUGGGUGGUAUAUUUCAUCUAAAGCUAAAUAUUGGCCAGAGACCGAUAGCGCACAAGUAGAGUGAUCGAAAGAUGAAAAGCACUUUGGAAAGAGAGUUAAACAGUACGUGAAAUUGUUGAAAGGGAAGCGCUUGCAACCAGACUUGCACCCCGUCGAUCAUCCCCCGUUCUCGGAGGUGCACUCGGCGGGGUUCAGGCCAGCAUCGGUUUCGGUGGUGGGAUAAAGGCCUUGGGAACGUAGCUCCUCUCGGGGAGUGUUAUAGCCCUCGGUGCAAUGCCGCCUACCGGGACCGAGGACCGCGCUUCGGCUAGGAUGCUGGCGUAAUGGUUGUAAGCGACCCGUCUUGAAACACGGACCAAGGAGUCUAAC
rnacentral:rRNA from 1 species